rnacentral:tRNA from 1 species
GGGGGUGUGGCUCAGGGGUAGAGCCCCUGCUUAGAAUGCAUGGCCAAGGCUUUGAGUUCAGUUCUCAACACACCCA